rnacentral:rRNA from 1 species
GCAGAACGCGAAGAACCUUACCCAGGCUCGAAAUGCACUCGAUCGCCGGCGAAAGCCGGUUCCCGCAAGGGCGAGUGUAUAGGUGCUGCAUGGCUGUCGUCAGCUCGUGUCGUGAGAUGUUGGGUUAAGUCCCGCAACGAGCGCAACCCUUGUCUUCUGUUGCCAUCAGGUCACGCUGGGCACUCUGGAGAAACUGCCGGUGACAAACCGGAGGAAGGUGGGGAUGACGUCAAGUCAGCAUGGCCUUUAUGUCUGGGGCUACACACGUGCUACAAUGGCCGGUACAAACCGUUGCAAACUCGCGAGGGUGAGCUAAUCGGAGAAAGCCGGUCUCAGUUCGGAUUGCAGGCUGCAACUCGCCUGCAUGAAGUUGGAAUCGCUAGUAAUCGCGGAUCAGCAUGCCGCGGUGAAUACGUUC